UGAAUACGAGAUGCUACGGCGUCGAAGCAGUCUAUGUCAUACUUCCAAGAAAAGCUCGCACUGUCAUAAACAAAUAAUGCCUGUACCAUAACCGACACAGGUGGGUAGGUAGAGUAUACUAAGGGGCGCGAGAUAACUCUCUCUAAGGAACUCGGCAAAAUGACUCCGUAACUUCGGGAGAAGGAGUGCCUUAUUUAUAAGGUUGCAAUAACAAGAUCCAAGCAACUGUUUAUCAAAAACACAGGUCUCCGCUAAGUCGUAAGACGAUGUAUGGGGGCUGACGCCUGCCCAGUGCCAGAAGGUUAAAGAAGUUGGUUAGCAUUCGCGAAGCUGAUAACUGAAGCCCUGGUGAUCGGCGGCCGUAACAAUAACGGUCCUAAGGUAGCGAAAUUCCUUGUCGGGUAAGUUCCGACCCGCACGAAAGGCGUAAUGAUUUGGAUACUGUCUCGGAGAGGGGCUCGGUGAAAUAGACUUGUCUGUGAAGAUGCGGACUACCUGCACCAGGACAGAAAGACCCUAUGAAGCUUUACUGUAACUUGAGAUUGAAAUUGGACUUUACUUGCGCAGUAUAGGUGGGAGGCGUUGAUAAUAUUCUUGCGGGAUUAUUUGAGCCAUCAGUGAGAUACCACUCUUGUAAUGUUAGAUUUCUAACUUUGUAUCAUUAUCUGGUCAAAGGACAGUUUCAGGCGGGCAGUUUGACUGGGGCGGUCGCCUCCUAAACGGUAACGGAGGCGCACAAAGGUUUCCUCUGAACGGGUAGAAAUCGUAUCUAGAGUGUAAAGGCAUAAGGAAGCUUGACUGUGAGACCUACAAGUCGAGCAGGGGCGAAAGUCGGUCUUAGUGAUCUGACGGUGCUGAGUGGAAAGGCCGUCACUCAACGGAUAAAAGUUACUCUAAGGAUAACAGGCUGAUCUCCCCCAAGAGUUCACAUCGACGGGGAGGUUUGGCACCUCGAUGUCGGCUCAUCGCAUCCUGGGGCGGUAGUACGUCCCAAGGGUUGGGCUGUUCGCCCAUGAAAGCGGUACGCGAGCUGGGUUCAGAACGUCGUGAGACAGUUCGGUCCAUAUCCGGUGUAGGCGUUAGAAUAUUGAGAGGAGCCUUCUUUAGUACGAGAGGACCGAGAAGGACAUACCUCUGGUGUACCAGUUAUCGUGCCAACGGUAAACGCUGGGUAGCUAUGUAUGGAGUGGAUAACCGCUGAAAGCAUCUAAGUGGGAAGCCCACCUCAAGAUAAG
rnacentral:rRNA from 1 species